UCAGAACGAACGCUGGCGGCAGGCUUAACACAUGCAAGUCGAGCGCCCCGCAAGGGGAGCGGCAGACGGGUGAGUAACGCGUGGGAAUCUACCUUUUGCUACGGAAUAACGCAGGGAAACUUGUGCUAAUACCGUAUGUGUCCUUCGGGAGAAAGAUUUAUCGGCAAGAGAUGAGCCCGCGUUGGAUUAGCUAGUUGGUGGGGUAAAGGCCUACCAAGGCGACGAUCCAUAGCUGGUCUGAGAGGAUGAUCAGCCACAUUGGGACUGAGACACGGCCCAAACUCCUACGGGAGGCAGCAGUGGGGAAUAUUGGACAAUGGGCGCAAGCCUGAUCCAGCCAUGCCGCGUGAGUGA
rnacentral:rRNA from 1 species